ensembl:snoRNA small nucleolar RNA SNORA26
UUGCGCACCUCAAGCGUCCCGUGCUGGAGGUGGUCAACACAGGGGGGCAGAGGAUUCCUCUCACUGAAACCCGGGGCAGGGCUGCCGCUCUCUGCUUCCGGAUCCUGUCGUGAGAGACACGU